ACUGGAGGCGGUGGUGCGCACCUGUAGUCCCAGCUACUCAGGAGGCUGAGACAGGGGAUUUCUUGAGUCCAGGAGUUCUGGGUUGUAGUGCGCUACGCCAAUCAGGUGUACACACUAAGUUCAGCAUCAAUAUGGAGACCUCCUGGGAAUAGGGGGCCACCAGGUUGCCUAAGGAGGGGAGAACCAGCCCAGGUCAGAAACAGAGCAGGUCAAAACUCCCAUGCUGAUCAGAAGUGGGAUCCCACCUGUGAACAGCCAGUGUACUCCAGCCUGGGCAACAUAGAGACCCCAGCUCAAA
rfam:Otolemur garnettii contig068155, whole genome shotgun sequence.